GACGUAGGAUGCAAGUGUUAUCCGGAAUCAUUGGGCGUAAAGCGUCUGUAGGUGGUUUCAAAAGUCCACUGUGAAAGAUUGAAGCUUAACUUCAAAAAUGCCGUGGAAACUUUGAAACUUGAGUAUGAUAGGGGUAGAGGGAAUUUCCAGUGGAGCGGUGAAAUGCGUAGAUAUUGGAAAGACCACCAAUGGCGAAGGCACUCUACUGGGACAUUACUGACACUGAGAGACGAAAGCUAGGGGAGCAAAUGGG
rnacentral:rRNA from 1 species